rnacentral:rRNA from 1 species
UACGUAGGGCGCAAGCGUUGUCCGGAAUUAUUGGGCGUAAAGAGCUCGUAGGCGGUUUGUCGCGUCUGCUGUGAAAUCCCGAGGCUCAACCUCGGGCUUGCAGUGGGUACGGGCAGACUAGAGUGCGGUAGGGGAGACUGGAAUUCCUGGUGUAGCGGUGGAAUGCGCAGAUAUCAGGAGGAACACCGAUGGCGAAGGCAGGUCUCUGGGCCGCAACUGGACG